CGACUUUACACUUUGAGAAGUUUCUCUCUAAAGAUACCACAAAACUAGUUGCAACAUGUGUCCAUUACUGGAAAGGGAGAAAACUGCUGCCAGCUUCAGCCUCCUGGAGAACAGGCAGGUUAUGCAGCCAUGCAAGGAAUCUCCCUUUGCCAUAAAACAAACAAAGCAACCCACACAGCUUCAGCAAGAACUUCUCCCAUGGACAAAGAGCUCAGCAGUGGCAUUCUGAGAAGCUGGAGAAGUCCUGCAUUCUAGAACACAGGUUCUUGCAUCUGCUUUCCUUCCUGGAGGGGUUUCCAAGAUGCCUGUGGAUGUAGAAGACUGCUGGCUGGAAAAGGUUUGGAUUAGACCAUUCCUUCCUGAACUCCAUGGAAAGGAUCUGAAGACCUUCAUGCGUUUCCUACAGUUCAGAGAUGUCAGCAAUGACCUCACCAGAGACUUAUUUAUUUUUGUACGUUUUGCACUUUGCCCCCUUGUGUUACAUCACCACCCAGAUAUAGGCAGAACAUCAGGCACUUCAACCUCCUGAAACAGUGAGAAAAACACAACCUUCCUAUCUUGGCUCAUGGAUGAGUCAAGAAUUAGGAAUUUAACAAGUUAUGCAAGCAAGCCUGAACUUUUAAGUAAAUAAAUACUUAGCAAAGGCCUCUGAGCACUAGUGUGUGAGAACAGACUUUGAACAGCUCAAAUCCUGAUGUUCCGGUCAUAAUAGCAUGACCCCCUGUAGAUGCCUCCUACCUCAGAAAGAAAAUCCUUCUAAGAAAUUAAUCACUAAGAGGCCUAGUAAAAAAUCUGAGACCA